rnacentral:rRNA from 1 species
UGGGGAAUAUUGGACAAUGGGCGAAAGCCUGAUCCAGCCAUGCCGCGUGUGUGAAGAAGGUCUUCGGAUUGUAAAGCACUUUAAGUUGGGAGGAAGGGCAUUAACCUAAUACGUUAGUGUUUUGACGUUACCGACAGAAUGAGCACCGGCUAACUCUGUGCCAGCAGCCGCGGUAAUACAGAGGGUGCAAGCGUUAAUCGGAAUUACUGGGCGUAAAGCGCGCGUAGGUGGUUUGUUAAGUUGGAUGUGAAAUCCCCGGGCUCAACCUGGGAACUGCAUUCAAAACUGACUGACUAGAGUAUGGUAGAGGGUGGUGGAAUUUCCUGUGUAGCGGUGAAAUGCGUAGAUAUAGGAAGGAACACCAGUGGCGAAGGCGACCACCUGGACUAAUACUGACACUGAGGUGCGAAAGCGUGGGGAGCAAACA